AUACGGAGGGUGCGAGCGUUAAUCGGAAUUACUGGGCGUAAAGCGCGCGUAGGCGGUUCGAUAAGUCUGAUGUGAAAGCCCUGGGCUUAACCUGGGAAUGGCAUUGGAUACUGUUGAACUAGAGUGCGGGAGAGGAGAGUGGAAUUCUCGGUGUAGCGGUGAAAUGCGUAGAUAUCGGGAGGAACACCAGUGGCGAAGGCGGCUCUCUGGACUGACACUGACGCUGAGGUGCGAAAGCGCGGGUAGCAAACAGGAUUAGAAACCCGGGUAGUCC
rnacentral:rRNA from 1 species